AACGAGCGAGACCCACGCCCACAGUUGCCAGCGUACUCUCUGGAGUGACGGGUACACUGUGGGACCGCCGCUGCUAAAGCGGAGGAAGGAAUGGGCAACGGUAGGUCAGUAUGCCCCGAAUAUCCCGGGCUACACGCGAGCUACAAUGGUUGGUACAAUGGGUAUCUACCCCGAAAGGGGACGGGAAUCUCCUAAAACCAAUCUUAGUUCGGAUUGAGGGCUGCAACUCGCCCUCAUGAAGCUGGAAUCCGUAGUAAUCGCGUUUCAACAGAACGCGGUGAAUACGUCCCUGCUCCUU
rnacentral:rRNA from 1 species